CUCUUCUGUAACCUUGGGGAAAACAUCAAAAUCGAUACUUACAAAAAGCAUGGUGAAUGGAUGCAGAAGGAAGAUCUGAAUAUUCUCCUACUAUAAAAGCAUUUGAAUGUCCACAAAAAGAAUACUAAAGAAGACUCAAUAGGAUUGGGCACCUGCUCACAGAAAACCCAAUGAUUACAGCUAUUUCACAGCAACUACCCAAAAACAUCUACAGACGGCAUUACUCUUACAGUCAAUCCAAGACCAGAAAACUCUCCGUCC